rnacentral:rRNA from 1 species
GACGAACGCUGGCGGCGUGCUUAACACAUGCCAGUCGAACGGAAAGGCCCUGCUUUUGUGGGGUGCUCGAGUGGCGAACGGGUGAGUAACACGUGAGUAACCUGCCCUUGACUUUGGGAUAACUUCAGGAAACUGGGGCUAAUACCGGAUAGGAGCUCCUGCUGCAUGGUGGGGGUUGGAAAGUUUCGGCGGUUGGGGAUGGACUCGCGGCUUAUCAGCUUGUUGGUGGGGUAGUGGCUUACCAAGGCUUUGACGGGUAGCCGGCCUGAGAGGGUGACCGGCCAAAUUGGGACUGAGAUACGGCCCAGACUCCUACGGGGGGCAGGAGGGGGGAAUAUUGCACAAUGGGCGGAAGCCUGAUGCAGCAACGCCGGGGGGGGGAUGACGGCCUUCGGGUUGUAAACCGCUUUCGCCUGGGACGAAGCGUGAGUGGCGGUAAUGGGUAAAGAAGCACCGGCUAACUACGU